rnacentral:rRNA from 1 species
GACGAACGCUGGCGGCGUGCUUAACACAUGCCAGUCGAACGGAAAGGCCCUGCUUUUGUGGGGUGCUCGAGUGGCGAACGGGUGAGUAACACGUGAGUAACCUGCCCUUGACUUUGGGAUAACUUCAGGAAACUGGGGCUAAUACCGGAUAGGAGCUCCUGCUGCAUGGUGGGGGUUGGAAAGUUUCGGCGGUUGGGGAUGGACUCGCGGCUUAUCAGCUUGUUGGUGGGGUAGUGGCUUACCAAGGCUUUGACGGGUGGCCGGCCUGAGAGGGUGACCGGCCACAUUGGGACUGAGAUACGGCCCAGACUCCUACGGGAGGCAGCAGUGGGGAAUAUUGCACAAUGGGCGGAAGCCUGAUGCAGCGACGCCGCGUGCGGGAUGACGGCCUUCGGGUUGUAAACCGCUUUCGCCUGUGACGAAGCGUGAGUGACGGUAAUGGGUAUAGAAGCACCGGCUAACUACGUG